rnacentral:tRNA from 1 species
GGGUGCGUAGCUCAAUGGUUAGAGCACCAAGCUUAUACCUUGGCGGUUCCCGGUUCGAGUCCAGGCGCACCCA